ACUACAGGCGCCUGCCACGACGCCCGGCUAAGUUUUUGUAUUUUUAGUAGAGACGGGGUUUCACCGUGUUAGCCAGGAUGGCCUGGAUCUCCUGACCUCGUGAUCCGCCCGCCUUGGCCUCCCAGAGUGCUGGAUUCCAGGCGUGAGCCACCGCGCCCGGCCCCUCUUUCUCCAUCUUUAAAGACAGCAGGACAUGGAGAACAACCACGGCUGUGCCCGGUUCUUCAGGUGGCUGCCAGUCCCCCCGUGCCUGCUCCCUGUCCCUGCCUGCCUUCCCGCUGAUGAUGACUGACGUUCUGGGACGGAGGAGCAGGUUAGGCCUAGGUACAGUUGUGUGCUGGUAAAUUUGUAACAAAAGGCUCUCCAGGGGAAGAAAAGCCCUGAUUUUCAGUGUUUGCCAAUUUCCACGGUAUUAAAAGUACUCACACCAAGGCCGGUUUUAAGCAGUGCUCCUGAAGUCCCUGAAGACAGAGUUGAAAAGCAUCGUGCACAGUUGACUCUUCUAAGCUAGUCCGAGCUGGCUCCAACACACUACUGCCUAUUCUUGAGCCUGCUGGCCUUUGGAAUGGACCACACCAUCAACUGUCCUGGUUGUCAGGCCUUUGGACUUGGGGUGGAACUAAACUAUCAGCUCUCCUGGGUCAACAGCUUGCCGACUCAUCCUGCAAAUCUUAGGACUUGCCAGCCUCCUUGAUUGCAUGACCAAUUCCUUAUAAUAAAUCUCUUCAUAUAUGUGUGACCACAUCCUAUUACUUGUGUUCUUUUGGAGAACUCUGACUACUACACUAAGUAAAGACGCACAACAUUUGCAAGACAAUGCAAAGUUUGACCUGACUAAAUUAGAAAGAUUAUGUUGUGGGGAAAUUUAAGAUAGUUGGUUUGAUAGAGUCAGAGAAGAUGAAGGAGAGUUGAGAUGGAUUUAGAUUGGUGAUGCAAUUAAAAUACUUACUCCUAAAGUCAUCACUAUCUCACUAGUCAGUGUUAUCCUAUUUUCCAUUGAGCCUGAAUUUGAGGAUUUUGUCUCAAUAGUGUAUCUCCAAACAUUCCCUAACAAUCAUAUAGAGUAAGUGCACUAGAUUAAACCUUUUGCAAAUCACAUAGGGAUCUAGUUAAAAUGCAGAUAAUGAUUUAAUAGACCCAGGGUAGAACCUGAGUUCUGUUGCUACUCCAAGGACCAGGUUUUUGAGUAAGAAACAUUCCUUGUAUAGUUAUUGCUGCUUGAAUCAGGGAGCCACUGAGGAAAUACUACCUGGCCUCUGAAGGAAUAAGGGCUGGUCCCGGAAAAAGACAGUAUAUUCUGGACUUUUUAAAAAUUGUACAGUGCAUAUUACCUCACAAAUAUUGUCCUGGGAAUGCAUUUUCAAGAAUUUGCAACAUCAAAGAACAAAAAUUAAGAGGAAAUAAAUAUUCAUCCAGAAUAUGUCAUUUGAGGUGAGCAUCAUGAGUUUGUCAGAGACAAUUUGAAUCAUCAUUUUGCUAAUAUUAAAAGAGAUGGCAUUUUAAAAUUUGAACUCUGAAAAGCAUUUGCUGGAAUCAUUUAUAAAAUGGCAAUAUUAGCCAUAAUUGGCCUGGGUAAAAACUUGAUAGGAGGAGAUGGAGGGAUUUAGGUAAUUCAAAUGGAUCUUUCAGUUCGGUUUUCUCAGGGGAACAAGGCAGCAUGUUGGUGGAAACUCUAAGGAAACCAAGUGGCAAGCCUUCUGAAAGCAAGGACUUGGAUUUUCCUUUCAAGACAUUUGCCAGAAGAGAAAAAAGCACAAGUGAAGAGAUGGAUUACGAACCUCUGAUUUAGACUGUACCUUAGUCACUUAAUGGCAACUCAAGCUGCCAGAUCUCUUGUUCCUCCUGUUUUAUGCCUUUUCUGUCACCCUACUCAACUAGUGACACUUGCUUUCCCACCAAGGCUCAGCACACCACUUCCAAGAAGAUCUGGGCUAGGUGGGUGCCAGUCUGAAUCUGAAUCGCCCCCGUCCUGGGCUCUCCUUAUCAAAAACACUUAGCAAAUUGUAUUAAACUGUUUUACUGUUUUCCCUUCUCCGACUCUAAGCUACUUGAAAACAAUUAUGGGUCACAUAUUUAUUUUCAUUCAUUCAUUCGUCAUCAGUUAUUUAUUAAGUGACCUACCACAUGCCUGGGCAUGGUGAUACAGUGGAAAUAAGGUACACUCCAUGUCCUUAAUGAGUUUUGUGCAUGAGUGCUGGUGCAUGGGUGAGUUCUGGGCAAAGAGAUCAAAGAGGGAUAAGUGCUUUCUUAGGGAUAAGGACAAUGACUAAGGGUCAUCAUACGACAGGCAUGGAACUUUGGCCAUGGUAGUCUUGGGAAGCUUUCAGUAGGUGAUGUAAA
rnacentral:lncRNA from 1 species